GUUGCAAGUUCACUGCUGUUUAUGAUAUGGAAUGAACCUCAGUUCCUCAGGGUGCCAGCCAAAUGCUUUUGAAAAAGAGGAAAUCAUAGCUAUCAGGCCUUGUAACUACACUAUUGGCCUUCCUGGGUCUCCAGCUUGCAGAAUGCAGAUUAUGAACUCCUCAGCCUCCAUAAUUUUGUGAGCCAAUACUUUAUGAGAACUGAGAUAAAAGAGCCGACUAUCUCCUUGAAGUCUGGAGAGUUAGGAGCAUCCAGAGUCAUAGCUGAGAUCUGCUUACCUGGAACAGAAGUCACUGGAAGCACAAACUGGUAAGAACAAUGAAAUACUAAUUCUGAUGAAUUUCUGGAGACUGGGUGUAGGCUAGCAUGU